UACGUAGGGUGCAGGCGUUAAUCGGAAUUACUGGGCGUAAAGCGUGCGUAGGCGGUCUGUUAAGACAGGUGUGAAAUCCCCGGGCUUAACCUGGGAACUGCGCUUGUUACUGGCCGACUGGAGUGUGGCAGAGGGGGGUGGAAUUCCACGUGUAGCAGUGAAAUGCGUAGAGAUGUGGAGGAACACCGAUGGCGAAGGCAGCCCCCUGGGCUAACACUGACGCUGAUGCACGAAAGCGUGGGGAGCAAAC
rnacentral:rRNA from 1 species